UAGAGGUUUUGAAUUCUGGCUCAGGACGAACGCGGGCUGCGAGCCUUAACACGUGCAAGUUACGAAACGCUUUGGAAGCGAUGAUGGCUUGCACGGGCGUGGAUGAGUGGCGAACGGGUGAGUAACACGUGAGCAACCUGCCCCUGCACUUCUGGGACAAGCCCUGGAAACGGGGUCUAAUACCGGAUAAGAUUGACCGGUCCCAUGCCGCAUGGUGGAUGGUGUAAAGCUUUUCCGGGGGUGCAGGAUGAGCUCGCGGCCUAUCAGCUUGUUGGUGAGGUAGUGGCUCACCAAGGCGACGACGGGUAGCCGGCCUGAGAGGGCGACCGGCCACACUGGGACUGAGACACGGCCCAGACUCCUACGGGAGGCAGCAGUGGGGAAUAUUGCACAAUGGGCGAAAGCCUGAUGCAGCGACGCAGCGUGAGGGAUGACGGCCUUCGGGUUGUAAACCGCUUUCAGCAGGGAAGAAGCGCAAGUGACGGUACCUGCAGAAGAAGUGCCGGCUAACUACGUGCCAGCAGCCGCGGUAAUACGUAGGGCACGCAGGCGUUGUCCGGAAUUAUUGGGCGUAAAGAGCUCGUAGGCGGCUUGGUCACGUCUGCUGUGGAAACCGCAACGGGGCUUAACGUUGCGUCGUGCAGUGGAUACGGGCAGACUAGAGUGCAGUAGGGGAGAUCUGGAAUUCCUGGUGUAGCGGUGAAAUGCGCAGAUAUCAGGAGGAACACCGGUGGCGAAGGCGGGAUCUCUGGGCCGAUAACUGACACUGAGGAGCGAAAGCAUGGGGAGCGAACAGGAUUAGAUACCCUGGUAGUCCAUGCCGUAAACGGUGGGCACUAGGUGUGGGCGGCAUUCCACGUUCUCCGCGCCGUCAGCUAACGCAUUAAGUGCCCCCGGCCUGGGGAGUACGGCCCGCGAGGCUAACAACUCAAGGAAAAUUUGACGAUAA
rnacentral:rRNA from 1 species